AACGGCCGCGGUAUCCUAACCGUGCAAAGGUAGCAUAAUCAUUUGCCUAUUAAUUGUAGGCUAGAAUGAAUGGGUUAACGAAAUAAAGACUGUCUCAAUUAAUCACCUAAAAAUUACUAUCUAUCUGAAGAAGGGUAGAUAACCUCGAAGGACAAGAAGACCCUAUAGAGCUUAAUUUUAAUUAUAGAGCUACACUAUAAAAAUAUUCGGUUGGGGCGACCCAGGGCUAAUUAAUCACCCACUAACUAAAAGAUAAAUUAAUCAAGUAAUUGACCCCUAAAAGAUCAUAAGAACAAGCUACCUUAGGGAUAACAGGCUAAUCCCACUCAAGAGUCCUUAUCAACAGUGGGGUUUGGCACCUCGAUGUUGGCUUAGG
rnacentral:rRNA from 1 species